GCCGAUUCAAAAGAAGAAAAAAGAAAGAGGGCCAACCGGUCCAAGAAGGAAAAAGAGAAAAAAGAAGGAAAGGUAGGCCAAACAGCCAAAGAAAAGAAAUAAAGAAAAAAGAAGGAAGGGCCCGACGGCUAAUGAAGAAAAAGAAAGAAAAAAGAAUAAUAAUGAAGUUUUUUUUUUCAAACCCCCGCCUUAUCCUUUCUUUUUCUUUUCCCUAUUUUCCUUCUUCACUCAUCUUCCUCUCCAAAACCUUAACUCCCUCAAGCCGCUGCCCUUAACCCCUUGACUGCCGUCGACCUUUUCACCAACACUGUCGCCAUUAGCUUCCACCUUCAUCGAGAAAAAGACUACACAAACACCACCUCACACUAUCAACGCACCACCAUUCUCCACACCCCCCACCGUUGAACACCUCCAUUUGAAGCCGUCACCGUCGUCGUCCAUAGCCUCACCGCCGAGUUACACCCUCUCGCUUAAAACACCACAAAACAUCACAUUUUCUCACCCCAAAACAAACCACCACCUUCAUCCACCCCAAAAAUGCCACAUUUCAUCCUAUAGCUGCCACCCUUAGAAGCACAAAAAUUUGUAAAGAUAUUUCAACCACCAUUCACCGCUGAUCGCUACUGUCCACCGCUGCCUAUUACUGGUCUCCGCCAUGGGCCACCACUAAAUAGUUAUCCCCGAUUAUUUUUUAGCCCGAAAAAAUCCCAUGGUUCGUACUAGACACCAAUCAACCGAUAUGUCCUGAGUUCGUUAAACCGAGGCCGAAACUGAUUUUCAGCACCACUAGUCAUUGAACUUGACGAUGAAGUUCUAGAACCACCACCGCCAAUACAUGUUGCUGGAACAAAUCAACAUCGACAAAGAAGCCCGACACUAGUCGAGAUGGAAAGUUCACACGUUUGUCCCGACAAGUCUAGCAACACAAGGUAUAACAUUUCGAACCCACAAACUGAUUUACUGUUAUUAACAUUUUCUACUGGUUAUUUAGACAGAGUUAGAACAACGAACCCAAGUGAAUAACCUAGUCCACGGUGAACAAGGUCGGCCACUGCUCGUGCUUGACAUAAACGAUCACACCAGCCCAAUAAAAGGUCAGAAUCAACCCCAAAUAGCAGUAUUGAAGCUGCUGAUAUAUUGAGCCCACCGCAAAGCCCAAUUGAAAAUGAAUACCAGCCUCCAUGUAAUAAUAGACGCGGUCAGCGAGGCCCAACAUAUACAAUGCCACCAGAACAAAGACUACGAGCAUUUCUAAAUUUUACAUCAGAACACCAAACAAGAUAUGAGGAAAUUCAACAUCGGCCAAUUCCAGUCUGUACACGAACAACUCGAAGCAAUAAAGUCUUUCGACGAAGAUGUGAUCCAGCUACUAGAGAGCAAGAGGAGCAAUCACCUUCCAACGUGGAUAAAUGACUUCAUCGCAUUGAGGCUCGCCUAGAAACAAUGGAAGCCAACACCUCAAGCAUCUCACCAUCUUGCAAAGAGGUCACUUGCACCGCCCUCGGGCCCAUUAAAUAUAAACAGGGAGAAUGAAGUUGGUGUGCUGAAUUCAAACUCUUACAAAAAGGGGCUAAAUUGAAACAAAAAGCAAAAAUGAGAGCUUAGUUGAAAGAUUGAAGAUACAAAGAUGAUUAGAUAAAGAUUGAAGGGUUCAAGAUUUUUUUUAAAAAAAGUGAUUGUAUAAAGAUUGAAGGAUUUUUUUAUAUGGUUACAACUUUGUAAUUGGUUUAAAUUUAAUCUCUAGUUCAAAAUUGUUUUUAAAA